rnacentral:tRNA from 1 species
CCAAAUUUCCGUAGUGGCAGAGUUAAUGCUUAGAAGUUAAGAUUCUAAUAUGUGCCCCAGCACC